AGAUUGAACGCUGGCGGCAGGCCUAACACAUGCAAGUCGAGCGGAUGAGAGGAGCUUGCUCCUUGAUUCAGCGGCGGACGGGUGAGUAAUGCCUAGGAAUCUGCCUAUUAGUGGGGGACAACGUUUCGAAAGGAACGCUAAUACCGCAUACGUCCUACGGGAGAAAGCAGGGGACCUUCGGGCCUUGCGCUAAUAGAUGAGCCUAGGUCGGAUUAGCUAGUUGGUGAGGUAAUGGCUCACCAAGGCUACGAUCCGUAACUGGUCUGAGAGGAUGAUCAGUCACACUGGAACUGAGACACGGUCCAGACUCCUA
rnacentral:rRNA from 1 species